CUCUCUCUCUGCGCAUCUCCUCCUCGUCGAACAAAUUGGAGCUCUAAAUGCCCAAUUUGUUCGUUGCAGUCGUCUCUCCCCAAACCCCCAACCUAGCCUCUGUUCCUAAACGCCUCCAACCCCCUUCACGAUGCCAUUGAGGAGCUCCAGCGCCUUCAUCACACCGAUGUUGCGCGUGGCUCGCAGCACCACCCGCCCAGUGACCAUGCGAACGGCGAGUUAUACGUCGCGCACGCGAUUGGGAACUCUGCCAGAGCCUCCGGUAUGCUCGCUACCUGCAUCAUCCAACCCAUCAAUAUGAUCAAGAUCUAUGAUUUGUUUGGCUCCGUUGAUGGAGGAGAGGGUGACUUUGAAAUGGAGGAAGAACAAGGAUGUUGUUCUGUGGUUUGGGUUGUCUCUGUUUCUACUUUUUCCUCUUGCUCCGUCAAUGAACGGUGAAGCCCAACUUUCUGGAAACAAGAGAAAAUGAAGAGCUGCAAUGUGUUUUCCAAAAGUUUUAUGGUUUUUACUUGUGAAUUUUCUGUGACAAUGUCAGCCUCUUUGUGGCCUCCUUGAAUUUGUCCAGCUUGAAUCUUGGCGAAGAGAUUUUGCCAGCCCUUGGAGAGCUGGGAAACUUGGAAUCCAUGUAUGUUUUAUGUCUAUUUUAAACUCUUUUUUUUCCUUUUUAUUUUUUUUUUAAUUUUUGUGUUCAUAGUGUAAUAGUCCUGAAGUGGUGUGAUGACUCUUUGUUUAUUUUCGAAUCGUAGAGACUUGCAGGGUAAUGAGCUAAGUAGCUAACUGGUCAAAUCCCGGAUGAGAUUGGCAACUGUGCUUCUCUUAUG